rnacentral:pre_miRNA from 1 species
ACUUCUUCAUAAAUGGAUGAAGUGGACAUCACGAUGGUCAGAUUGGGAAUUCACGAUCUGAUCAUCGUGAUGUCCACUUCAUCCAUUUGUG